CAUCAGCGGUCAUGGAGAGUCUCCAUCCAGCUGGAUCACUGUCACAGAGAGACACACCACCACACCUCCACCUACAUCAGCCUCCAUUAUCACCUCUGAUUUCUUCUUGCUUCUCUGUGUAUCGUCAUCUGUUGGAUCAGUCGGUGUUGUGGUUUUGCUGGUGUUACUGGUUCUGUUGGUGAGACAAUGUGUUCGGAGAAAGCCUGAUGUUGAUCAGGGAAAAGCUGAAGAUGACAUCACUUACAGUGACCUCAAGAUAUUACAUCACCAAGAACAGCCAAUCAAAUGGAGCAAAGGUAG